AGCGAACGUUAGCGGCGCGCCUAACACAUGCAAGUCGCACGGAGUAGCAAUACUCAGUGGCGCACGGGUGCGUAACACGUAGAUAAUCUGCCCUUCGAAGGGGGAUAACGUUCCGAAAGGAGCGCUAAUACCGCAUACAGCUGCGUCUGGUUCGCUAGAUGCAGGCAAAGGCUGGGCCCAGCAAUGGCCAGUCGUCGAAGGAGGAGUCUGCGGCCCAUCAGCUAGUUGGCGAGGUAAUGGCUCACCAAGGCAGAGACGGGUAGCUGGUCUGAGAGGAUGAUCAGCCACACUGGUACUGGAACACGGACCAGACUCCUACGGGAGGCAGCAGUGGGGAAUCUUGGUCAAUGGGCGCAAGCCUGAACCAGCGACGCCGCGUGAGUGA
rnacentral:rRNA from 1 species